rnacentral:lncRNA from 1 species
AAUAAGGAGAGGGGGCGGGGUGGCAGAGAGAGCUGGAAGAAUUGAGAAAGAAAGGAAGAAAAGAGAGAGAAAAAGAAAGGAAAGGAAGGAAAGGAAGAAGAGGAAGUAAGUGUUGAUUUCUUCAAGUACUAUUUCAUUUCUUAAAGAGUUAGAAAGUAUAUAUUUAUUGUAUUAUGAUGUUAAAUAUUCUAGGGUUCUAAGUUGUUGAUUUAAAUUUUAGAUUGAAGGAAAGAGCAUGAUUUCAAGCCAAUCUUUGUGAGUAGUGAUUGAUAUUUACAUUAAGGUAAGUAACAUGAUUUUUGAACGAACCCUAGAAAUAUUUAUUUGGGAUUUUUUAUUAAGUAUUGCUAAUGGAAUAAUUGAGUUGAUGAAAUAUUCAAGUGAAAUCAUGAUUUUAUGAAGCUAGAUUAAAGAUAAGUUGAUCGUGUUCUUUGUGUCAGUUUUUACUAGAUUGUAAAGUAAAAUUAUUUUAUGUUUGGAAUGAAGAUUUUUCGAUGAAUUGGUUAUUAGUAGAGGAACUAGAAAGUGAGAUUAACUUCAAUUGAUUAAAGAAAAUUUGGGGAAGAUUCAAGAGAAAAUGUGAAAGUUGAGGAAUUAAGUGGUGACUUUGCAUUAGUUUAAUUGUCAUAUUUUAAUUUGAGUUAUUAUACUGGUAUUUUGGGUAGUUAUAUGGAAGUUGGAGAUACCAGUCAAUUUAACCCGAUUUUUAUCCAUAGAGCAGUGGGUGGACAUAAACUUAUUUUCAAAAAUUAGUAUUUAAUAAAUUUAUAUUAAAUCAGGAAAAUUUGGAAAAUUUAUUAUUUCAUGCAAUUGAUUUGAUAGCAUGAUUUCCAGAAUGAGAUCGAUUUAUAAACAGUUUUUUUUUAAAGCUAAAUAUAGUUCAAUUUCACUUACAUUAUUUGAUUAGAAUGUUAUAUGAGUAUUAAAUAUUUCAGUUAUUUUAAAACCAUCGAAAGUAACCAGGUGAUUUUAUCCUAGUCUGCACUUGUGUAAAUGUGUUUCCACAGUGUAUGACUUCAUAUGGUUAUUUUACCCGCUCUGCACUGGUGUGAAUGUAUUUUCACAGUGUAUGACCAGUUAUAGUGAUUUACCCCCUUUGCACUAUUGCGAAUAUGUUUCCAUAGUGUAUGACCAGAUAGCUCUGAACGCGUAUGACUAGAAUUUCAGAAUUACAGAAUUAAAUAGUUUUGCCAUGUCUAUCGGUGCUAACUGAUACAUGAGUAUAGUUAUUUCGGGUACCUUUUGGUGUGAUUUUCUAGUAUUAUAUAGCUUAUCAGAUUACAGACUACAGAAUUUAGUUUAUUCAGUCUGAAGAAUAUAGCUUUUAGCAUUAUACAGUUAUUUAGAUUUUAGGAACGAAAUUUAGCUUAAGUAGUUUACAGAAUAAAAAUUUGUUUGAUUCCAGUAUAUUUUAGUUUUGAUAUUAUUAUCAGAUUUCAAAUUACAGUAUUUAUCUUAUUCGGUUUAAAGAAUAAAGAUUUUAGUUUAUAGUACUGUGAAAGGAAAUUUGGAAGUUGACACCAGUUUUCAAAAAGUUGUUAUAAAGGAAAAAGUAUACUUUUACAAAAUAUCCACUCACUGAGUUAUAAGCUCAUAUUUUGUCACCCUUUUUCUUAGCAGAUAGUAGCUACGUUGAGCCAUAUUGGAGCUUGUUGAUCUGCGAGUUGAGCCACACAGUAUCAUUUCUUGUAUGUCGCAUCUUGUCUGUUAAUACAUCACAUAUUUUCGGGAUUGAUGCAUCAUUUAUCAGAAAAAUGUAUUUAUAUCACGAGCUCACUGCAUAUUUUUUUAUAUAUGUUUUACAAAUGGAGUUGUGUGAAUGUAAAGGAAUAUAAAUUUCUUUCAAAUGCACUUAUUUUGAAUAGUUGGUAUUUCAAAGGGUU